rnacentral:rRNA from 1 species
UACGUAGGGACCUAGCGUUGUCCGGAAUCAUUGGGCGUAAAGCGCGCGUAGGCGGCCCGGUAAGUCCGUUGUAAAAGUCGAAGGCUCAACCUUCGAAAGCCGAUGGAUACUGCCGGGCUAGAGUCCGGAAGAGGCGAGUAGAAUUCCUGGUGUAGCGGUGGAAUGCGCAGAUAUCAGGAGGAAUACCCAUAGCGAAGGCAGCUCGCUGGGACGGUACUGACGCUAAGGCGCGAAAGCGUGGGGAGCGAACAGG